GUCAGGGCUCCAUCCGACGCGAGCGCAGCGCCCUGCUCGCUGAACGCGAGAAAAAAAACAUCGCCCUGCAUACAGUGUUGCGGCUGGUCCUUGCGGAGGCACUCGUUCUUUGCCGGCGCCGACGGGGGAAUGGAGGAUGCUAGUAUGGAGUUCCUGCAUGACGCCGUUGAAAGGUUCCCCCUGAGAGAGGAAUUCGCUGACAACUUUGAGCACCCAGAUCCGAUUCCCCUCGUCUUCUUGGCGGACGAUGUAGCCGGUCAUGUGGUUCUUGCGGAAUCUAAUACUGGGUCUGGUUGCGCGAAAAAGGUCGGAGACAAUGGAACACGUAGAGCGCGUGAAGGAGUUCGUCGUCGCCAUGAUGCAUUUCCGACAAGGUCGGCGCAAUCCACAAGCGCCUGGCUGGACAAAAAGGCUGCGGUUAGGCAGUGUGCCACCAAACCGGGCACCGUGUCCUUCUCGGAUGAGCGCUCUGGAGCAGUCGACCCGCAAGUAUGCAGAGGAGCUGAUAAGAGUGUAGUACGGCCUGAACUUGGUUUGAGUUUUGAUUCAUUGGGCGAGGCGCGCGACUUCUAUAAUUUGUACUCUUGGGAGAUCAGCUUUGGAAUAUGGUACGGGAAAAGCAGACUAAACGCCGAGAGGACUAAAGUACGGAAAAAGCAGACUAAAUGUGCGUACUCAUGGGGUUAUACCAGUGAGAUAGGGUGAAGCGAACGAUGGUGCAGGUGGGUGUUCCAGUGAACAAGAAGAUGAGGAAAUGAAGGAACGUGUGCGCAGCCUAGCUGCAGCAGCACAUGCUGUAGUCGACCGAGCCAUAGACAGUCCAGGACUCUUCGAAGGCAUAUUCGAGCAAGCGAGGGAUCUCCUAUCAAGACUUGGAGUGUGAGGAUACAUGCAGUCUGGUGCCUCACCUGGUGGUCAAGAACAGUGGGGUUUUAGCUCUACAUCUGCAGAAGAUGGUGAACACGAUGGCAUAAAUUGGGAUUUAAGUAGAGAAUGAAAGCCAGGAAGCUACAGAAAUGGAGACUCAGGAUCAAAACAAUACAGAGGAGGGGGGCAGAGCAGUUGCAGCUACUGAAGUUGAUGAUCAGGACAACAUCAAUUGGGAAGAACUAGGGAAUGCUAGUCAAGAAGCGCCAGCGUUGUCAACUGAAGAACAAAUUGAUGGUGACAAUAUAUUCGGUAUUCGCAAGGAAUCUUGAUGCCCUAUACAGCGGCAUAGAAUUGGACGAUGAUUUCCUAGAUGUGGCAUCAUAGGUGCCAAUUAAUUACAUGGUAGAACAAGUUGCAGUAGGUGCGCCAUCAUAUGUUGUUGAUGAAGAUCACAUAUAUUCUCUGCUUGCUUCUAUGAACACAUGCAUUCGAUGGGUUGCAUGGAUUGGAGCAAUGCUGGUUGUGGGGAGCUCCAGGCCAGGAGACGACACAGACGAAGACCCGCCUUGCAACGGUGUUAUCUUGCUAGGCUGGCAUAAUGAGGACCAAGAGGCACAACCAGAAGCUAGCAGAGACGGUGUCCGUGCAAGCCAACGCCAGAAAUCCCGUACCCAUUUUGUUGAUGUGGUGACAAACUGACGCUCUGGUCCUGCUUUCCGUCGUGAUGAUGAAGAUGGUGGUGAUGGCAGCUCCGACAAAGAGCAUGGCUUCUGUUAGCGGUGGAUCAGCAUCUAGAUUCCAGCAGGCUAUUGUCAACUAUCUGGAGAAGUGUGGUAUUCAGUACACGGUGAAUAAAACAAUGGUAAAGGGCAUACUUCCAUACCAGGGGCUGCAACUGCAGGUGCAGAUAAUUCAGCCAGGUGUGAGUGGGGGGAGAAGCAGUCCGUUGGACUAUAUCAUGUACAACCGUGUGAAAAUGACAUUUCGUUCCAUGUGAACAUGCUAGAGUGUGGCGAGAUCGGAAGAAAUGAUUCAAGCACUUUCAUCCAAUAUUGGCAGUGGCAUAUGGUCAGCACCUGAAAGAUGAGCUCACUCCCGGUGGCGAGUUGACACUGAAUACUUGGAGAUGCAUCCAUCACAUGCUUAGUCAGAUGGAGAAUACAAUAUACCGUGGGUGGCUUGAUAGGUUUAGAGGGAGUUUUGAUCCCGUUUUGUGGAAGAGCUUUGUAGGGAUGAUACUGAAACUGACUGGGAUUACAUCAGCACUAUGAUGGAUUCAGAAGUGAUGGGGCUAUAGGAUUGACUGGCUGAAGAAGGUAAAUGGAUUGGCUACCACAAACCUAGCAAUACUAUUUCCCUAUGGUACUAUCUAUCUGAUUUUGUAUGUGUGUUAUUGAACAAAUAAACUUUUAGUUCAUGUUCCCGGCGAACUUCAUGGAUACAGAGAAGAAAAUUAUGAUGGUGCUUGACCCUACUGAGACUGAUCCAACGGAUGAGAUGAAAAUCAAACAUGAGGCACUAGCAAAGAAGUUCCAGCAUAGGCUCUGCACCAUAUUCAAUGACUUUUCCGGUGCUGAGUUGGUUGAUACCCGUGGAUGGUCAUUUGUGUACCCGUUUGUGGCGCAACAUGAGCCAUGCAGUAGGUGUGUGCGACUGCCUUGAUCAUGCACAGGGUUUUUGUUGUUUAGGAAAAAAAAUCCUGUAACCCUUUUUAGUGUACAUCUUGUUUGCUUCGGA